rnacentral:rRNA from 1 species
ACGCUCGACACCUACGGGAGGCAGCAGUGGGGAAUAUUGCACAAUGGGGGAAACCCUGAUGCAGCGACGCCGCGUGAGCGAAGAAGUAUUUCGGUAUGUAAAGCUCUAUCAGCAGGGAAGAAACUGACGGUACCUGACUAAGAAGCACCGGCUAAAUACGUGCGAGCAGCCGCGGUAAUCUGAGCGGGCUGGCAAGGC